rnacentral:rRNA from 1 species
AUUGAACGCUGGCGGCAGGCCUAACACAUGCAAGUCGAGCGAGCGGCGGACGGGUGAGUAAUGUAUGGGGACUGCCCGAUAGAGGGGGAUAACUACUGGAAACGGUAGCUAAUACCGCAUACUAUCGGAUAACCCAUAUGGGAUUAGCUAGUAGGUGGGGUAAAGGCUCACCUAGGUGACGAUCUCUAGCUGGUCUGAGAGGAUGAUCAGCCACAAUGGGACUGACACCCGGACCAUGCUCCUACGGAGGCAGCAGUGGGGAAUAUUGCACAAGGGGGGCAAGCCUGAUGCAGCCAUGCCUCGGGGAUGAAGAAGGCCUUAGGGUUGUAAAGUACUUUCAGCGGGGAGGCGUUACCCGCAGAAGAAGCACCGGCUAACUCCGUGCCAGCAGCCGCGGUAAUAC